rnacentral:misc_RNA from 1 species
AACGCACAUUGCGCCUUAUGGUAUUCCAUAAGGCAUGCCUGUCUGAGCGUCAGCUCCCCCCCACUCAAGCUCUUUUGCUUGGAAUCUUAGAAAAGCAGUCUAUCUGCCUUCUAUAAAUUCAUAGGCAGUAUGGUUUCUUCCAGACUCGACGUCAUAAUUCAAAAAAGCGUCUUAUUUGGAGUUAUCGUAUUCGCCUUUAACCCACCCUUUUUUUUUACUUGGGUGACCUCAGAUCAGGUAGGGAUACCCGCUGAACUUAA